GAUGAACGCUGGCGGCGUGCCUAACACAUGCAAGUCGAGCGAUUCUCUUCGGAGAAGAGCGGCGGACGGGUGAGUAACGCGUGGGUAACCUGCCUUGUACACACGGAUAACAUACCGAAAGGUAUGCUAAUACGAGAUAAUAUGCUUUUAUCGCAUGGUAGAAGUAUCAAAGCUUUUGCGGUACAGGAUGGACCCGCGUCUGAUUAGCUAGUUGGUAAGGUAACGGCUUACCAAGGCGACGAUCAGUAGCCGACCUGAGAGGGUGAUCGGCCACAUUGGAACUGAGACACGGUCCAAACUCCUACGGGAGGCAGCAGUGGGGAAUAUUGCACAAUGGGCGAAAGCCUGAUGCAGCAACGCCGCGUGAGCGAUGAAGGCCUUCGGGUCGUAAAGCUCUGUCCUCAAGGAAGAUAAUGACGGUACUUGAGGAGGAAGCCACGGCUAACUACGUGCCAGCCGCCGCCGUAA
rnacentral:rRNA from 1 species